AUACCAUGAUGUGGGCAUUGUCUCUUCAUCUCCUUGAAUCUUUCCCAUGACUCUGCCAAAGACUCACCAACCAACUGUCUGAUAUUUUGAAUUGACCUCCUCAUUUUUUGAGUCU
rfam:Ipomoea nil DNA, scaffold: scaffold2280, cultivar: Tokyo-kokei standard.